rnacentral:rRNA from 1 species
UACGUAGGCAGCAAGCGUUGUUCGGAAUUACUGGGCGUAAAGAGUGUGUAGGCGGUGCUCUAAGUUCGGUGUGAAAUCUCCCGGCUCAACUGGGAGGGUGCGCCGAAAACUGGAGUGCUGGAGCGCGGGAGAGGAAAGCGGAAUUCCUGGUGUAGCGGUGAAAUGCGUAGAUAUCAGGAGGAACACCGAUUGCGAAGGCAGCUCGCUGGGACGUAACUGACGCUGAGACGCGAAAGCGUGGGGAGCAAACAGG